rnacentral:rRNA from 1 species
UACGUAGGGUGCGAGCGUUGUCCGGAAUUACUGGGCGUAAAGAGCUCGUAGGUGGUUUGUCGCGUUGUUCGUGAAAACUCACAGCUUAACUGUGGGCGUGCGGGCGAUACGGGCAGACUAGAGUACUGCAGGGGAGACUGGAAUUCCUGGUGUAGCGGUGGAAUGCGCAGAUAUCAGGAGGAACACCGGUGGCGAAGGCGGGUCUCUGGGCAGUAACUGACGCUGAGGAGCGAAAGCGUGGGGAGCGAACAGGAUUAGAUACCCUGGUAGUCCACGCCGUAAACGAUGAGUGCUAGGUGUUGGGGGUCAAACCUCGGUGCCGCAGCUAACGCAUUAAGCACUCCGCCUGGGGAGUACGUACGCAAGUAUGAAACUC